AGGCUGAGCUGUGUCAGCGUUAGGCAGUGAGAUUUGAUGUUUUGCUGUCUUUUAGGCGAAGCCUGGUAGUCCAGGCAGAAAGAUGUGUAUGUGCCGACUGGUGCGCAGCUCUGCGUGCUGACGGAGGUGCGGAGCAGCAUGGGUGACACAUGGGACACGUUCCCUCACCCUGCACAAUUACCCAGGGUUGUUUUUUGCCAGGUCCUCCAGCCGAACUGACUCACCCUAUGGCAGUUGCAGGUGGGACAAGGGAGGAGUGGGAUAGCUCCUUUCCACGGUAGUGCUCUCUCUUAUCAGGCUAGGUGCAACCUGAAACCAAAAACUUACUUCAAAGAGACUUUUAUCAACCAUCUAAACUACUACAUCCUGGGUGCGGUACUGCCUUUCUGUCACAUGGUGGAAAAAAGCAGAGAAGCUUGUGGUGAGACAAGUUUGAGUGAUCCAGUCCCAGACUUGUUUGUUGCUUUCUGCCUGGGAGAGGUGCUGGGGGUGUUGCAGCCUCACCGAGGGACAGCAGCCGUCUCCUUUAGCGCUUCUGCACACAGCUUCUUAGAAGCAACACCAGCUCCUGCCUUCCUCUUAAGAAGGAUGUCUGGUCUGUCAGCUGAAGGGAGAUGCUGAAACUGUGCACACCAGCACAAGUCCCUCGCAUUUCUCUGUGCCCUACCUGAAGCUCUGCCAAGCACAAACCUCAAAGCCGUGUCAGCAGCAUCCCCAGUGGGACCUGGUACGAGAGGAGAUGAGGUGAUUUUUAUCUCCAAGUCGGUUCACAUCACUGCAACACCCUUGUCUUCAGCUCAGGCUAUGAGCUUAUGUAGCUGCAUCACUAGAGCAAGCUGAGGUUCAGCUCUCGGCACAUGCUGUGCCUGUGCAGGGUCCCCAGAGUGUGCACACUGCUCCUCUGCUCUCCCCAGCCCACGCUGUCUCUGCGUUGCCAAAGCUGCUCCUCCUCGCCGGCACUGGGAGCGUGCUCCAGGGCUGCUCAGAUGCAUCUAUGCACACGGCAGCAGGGCAGCCGCUGCGGUACCGUGCACACUGACUCACUGCUUCUCUCGCAUUGCUCAAGCCCCUCUUGUUUCCAGGGGGAACGAGCUGGAAAGAAGCCACCAGAAGAGGAUAGUGCAGGAGAUGCAGUCCGCCGUGGUGGAUAGAUUACUGUGCUGAAAGGUCAUUCUCUUUUUUUCCCCAGAUCUUUUAUUUAUUUAUUUAUUUAUUUAUUUUUCCUUAAAACAGAUUGGGUUUACAAGCGUGAGCAAUAUUUUCCCCCUGGUUCAUGACACAGCCUCAGAAAUCUCCACUGCUGCUGCAGCAGCGGCUAGCAGCCAGCCUUUGCUCUGAGCUGAAGCACAGCCAUGUUCAUUGUUUCACUGAGGUUACAAACCAGCCUGUGGUUCUCCCCACUAAGAGGAACUCAUGUCUUGUGCUUUUUCUCUUCUAGGAGGUGGGACCAUGCUUUGUACCAAACCCGCCCACAGUUUUGCGCUUUUCAGCUUCUGGUGGCACAGCCAUUUGUGCCAAAUGACUUUAAUUACUUUGAAAACUUAUAAGCUGCUUGAAAUUGAGUUAAUUGUAGAUCUUUCACUCUAGCCCGUUAGAAAACAACUGCUCUAAAGAACGGAGCCCAUGCUGUGUGCAACCUUUAUCUUGAACCAUAAGAAACAGGAAACCUUUGUGGGUUUUCUUGCAACAACCUGAUAUUUAUAGUUGCCUUCGGAGCAACAGCUAGUGAGAUUAUGCAGCUAUGAACCCCAUGCACUACGGCUCUCAAAGGGGGGAAUUUUUUUCAGAAGUGCUCCUGUCUGCUUCUGUAUGCAUUUGAAAGAGAGCCAACUCAAUUUGCAAAUGGCCCUUUGUUUACCUGCUUUUCUUCCCAGUGGUUUGUCUGUUUUCAUCUCCACCAGGGUGCAAGGCAAACCGGGAUCAACCCUGCAGUCUUGAAAUUCAGAUUCAGCUCCAGGGAGCAGCAGGAAACUUCUCAAGAAGUACUGAGGGACAGAAGGCCUUGUACAGGGAGACCUCCAAGUCUGAAACCAAGACAGAACAUACCAGGCCCAGCUUUCCAGGAGCAGCCGUCGAACUGUCUAAAUGUUUAAUUGUUGGAACAAUGCAGAACCCUGUGCAGGCAGAAGGUCUAGCAGGUGCCCCAGAUGUGGCUGGCAGGAGCUGAGGGUCACUAAGGGCCUCGCCAGUUCCAGAUCUGCACAGGAAGCACACAACGCUCUUCUAAUUUCUAAAUGACUUGUGCAACCUCUAUGCGUAACAGCCUGUGGCAUGACCACGGAGAGAGACUUCCUGCUUGGUUGCAAGGAUGAUUUGGACACUGAAGCUCCUUCUGUAGUCUCUGCUUUUUUUCUUUUUUCUUGUUUUUUUAACUUUCUUUAAUUUUUACCACAGUAAAGUCAAGCCACAAAGCCCAUACAGUAGAGGCAGACAAGCAGCUUUGUCAAACAUGUAAUACAAUUCUAAAUGCAUUCAGAGAAGAUAAACUGUAGUUCUAAAAGCAUAAUGAAUAGCAAAUGGAGGUGUAAAAUGGACAGAUAAAAGAAGGAAAAAGUAUGAAAAAGCUAAAAAGCCAAUUAAUGGUUGUCAGCAUACACAAAAAGAAAGUAACCAUUGGAACAGAAAGCUGUAUGUUGUUCUUCAAAGCCAGGGUGAGGUGGAGAUACCAGAGCACUGGCUGGUGUGCACAAUGGCUGAUAUCUCCUCUGUGGAGCUACAUGGAAACUUCAGCGCCUGGCUGCACUUGCCAGUAAUAGUAUUGCCUCCCAACUGCCUUCUGGGAUGCACAGCCUUCCCUCCUUAUCUGCCAGUGCCCAGGAGAAACCCAGGCGACAGGGAACACCAGCGCUUUUCAGCAAGACCCCCCUCUGGCUGCUCGGGGAGCCAGGAGUGAGAGGCUCAGUGCUGAGCACAGGUGUGGAUACAGCCUGUGAGAGCACCCACCUACCACAUCAGGGCAUCACUGCGCCUUUCCCAGCCAGAUUUGGUCUGGAUCAGGUCAACCCAAGCUGCCCCUCUUUUUUAACGCUGUAGAUGCUCUCAAUACACUUGCCAGCUCUUGCUAGUAGACAACUGCCACCAGACUUUGAGCAGAGUACAAUGAAUAACCAUCAGAGCAGCUGAGCUUUGCAUGCAUUGGUGCAUACACAGAAUAAAUUAGUUCCUAAUUCAGCUAAGCAGGAUCUUAAAACUUUGAGCAUGCUUAAUGUCACUGGAUGUGUCAGGCUCUUCCUCAGGCUGCAAGACCCUGCCACCAUGCUACCAGGCUGUGAGGUUGGAGGGCAGAAAGCAAAAUGGCUUUUCAGUCAGCAGUGUCUUGACGAGGAGGAGGCCACAGGACCCACAAAUGCUGAUGGUAAUA